rnacentral:rRNA from 1 species
UACGGAGGGGGCUAGCGUUGUUCGGAAUUACUGGGCGUAAAGCGCACGUAGGCGGCUUUGUAAGUUAGAGGUGAAAGCCCGGGGCUCAACUCCGGAAUUGCCUUUAAGACUGCAUCGCUAGAAUUGUGGAGAGGUAAGUGGAAUUCCGAGUGUAGAGGUGAAAUUCGUAGAUAUUCGGAAGAACACCAGUGGCGAAGGCGACUUACUGGACACAUAUUGACGCUGAGGUGCGUAAGCGUGGGGAGCAAACAGG